rnacentral:rRNA from 1 species
UACAGAGACUGCAAGCGUUAUUCGGAUUCACUGGGCGUAAAGGGUGCGCAGGCGGUUGUGUGUGUCAGGUGUGAAAUCUCGGGGCUUAACCCCGAAACUGCGCCUGAAACUACACGACUAGAGCAUUGGAGAGGGUAGCGGAAUUCAUGGUGUAGCAGUGAAAUGCGUAGAUAUCAUGAGGAACACCAGAGGCGAAGGCGGCUACCUGGACAAUUGCUGACGCUCAGGCACGAAAGCGUGGGGAGCAAAAGGG